CAUCCCGAUGCUAUUCUAGAGAUAGAAAGUACUUCGGUACAUCGGUGACAGGUGGUGCAUGGUUGUCGUCAGCUCGUGUCGUGAGAUGUUGGGUUAAGUCCCGCAACGAGCGCAACCCCUAUUGUUAGUUGCCAUCAUUCAGUUGGGCACUCUAGCGAGACUGCCGGUAAUAAACCGGAGGAAGGUGGGGAUGACGUCAAAUCAUCAUGCCCCUUAUGACCUGGGCUACACACGUGCUACAAUGGUUGGUACAACGAGUUGCGAGUCGGUGACGGCGAGCUAAUCUCUUAAAGCCAAUCUCAGUUCGGAUUGUAGGCUGCAACUCGCCUACAUGAAGUCGGAAUCGCUAGUAAUCGCGGAUCAGCACGCCGCGGUGAAUACGUUCCCGGGCCUU
rnacentral:rRNA from 1 species